rnacentral:rRNA from 1 species
UACGGAGGGGACUAGCGUUGUUCGGAAUUACUGGGCGUAAAGCGCACGUAGGCGGAUUUGUAAGUCAGGGGUGAAAUCCCGGGGCUCAACCCCGGAACUGCCUUUGAUACUGCGAAUCUCGAGUCCGGAAGAGGUGAGUGGAAUUCCCAGUGUAGAGGUGAAAUUCGUAGAUAUUGGGAAGAACACCGGUGGCGAAGGCGGCUCACUGGCUCGUUUCUGACGCUCAGGCGCGACAGCGUGGGGAUCAAACAGG